ACUUCAGGACCACACUACAGCUUCCUCACUCUGAGAACAAAUAACUGCCUGCAAUGUCUUUGUAUCAGCUUGAGUUGGACCUGUUUAAGUUAAAUUUCCUAAAAGCAGGGACUGAGACAAGGAUUUGUGUCCAAGUGAUUUAUUGAGGCAGUGUUCUCAGAAGAAAUCUAUAAAGGAGUAAGAGAAUAGGACAGAGGUGAGGCAGAAACUACACAAGGAUGAGACCUUCAGGUGAAAUCUUGCCUCAACCUGAUCUCAUAGGGAGCUCUGGAGCAUAAAUUGCACCUUGGAUCUGUCCUGUUUUGCUGUAAGAGAGCAGGGUUUUGUAAACUCCCUCUCAUCCAGCCCCAACCAGCAGUGAUGACUACAUGUUGCUCUGGCAUUAAUCAUGGAAGUGGGUGUGAUUCUCAGACAUCCCCAGGUAAGGUGGCUGCAGUCACCUGAGAACAGUACUCAAAAGAAGGCAGCUACUGGGAACCACUAGCCACAGCACCCACAGCACCUGGACAUGAGCAAACCAGACUGGUAAGGUGGAGCCUAGGGCAUCUGAAAAGGGCACCAUUAUCAUUUGCUAUGUCCCAAAAAUCAGACUGUGUACAGAGAUGGCCUUGACAUUAUCUUUCACUUCCAAAGCUACCCAAGGAUGAGUAAGCGACCCAGUCAUGGGCUGACAAGAGCGUGUGCAACAGCUUCGCUCUCCCAUAAAGAGAUACUUAAUAAGCAUGUUCAUUAUUAAGAGAGUCAUGAAUUUGAAAUUACCGUGCCAGACAGACUCUCAUCUCUGCUCUUCUUCAUAUCCAGGUAACUACACCUGGCUAAGGUCAUUCUGACCCUGAUAUGCCAUCCUAAUUGCUAGGAUGACAACAGAGGGCUUUAGAUGGGAAAUUCAGUGAAAAGUAGGAUGAAUUUUGCCUUUUGGCAGCCACAAAGGAUUAGUUUCCAUGGAAGGGCUGCGCUGAGGGAUGAUGUUUUGAGAGAAUGCCUUGAAUUGAUACCUCAAAGGGCUUCUUUCGAAGGGAUGAUUUAUACAUCUCAAGACAAAGAGGAUUUAUAUUAAAGAAAAUGGAUUCCUUUUCUGAACCGUUUUGAGGAAGAUGGAUAGCUUCCUGUAAACUGCAGUUCUGUGUCUGAGAGCUGAGUGUUUCCGGAAAAUUACUAAGGUGCAAGAAUCUACAAAGCAACAUCAGAGGCCCAGAAGUGAAUUACAGACUGCCCCUCAGAAGAGAGUGAUUGAAUUAUGAAAUGUGGAUACUCCAUUUGAAGUGUUGAAAGCAGUGCAAAGAUCUAAAGAGGACACUUCAGCAGCAGAAUUGAGAAAAUUCUUUUCAUCACUUUUUUAAAUAUAUCCCCCCAACCAAAAAAGAAAGAAAGAAAGAAAAAAAAAAAAAAAACCUGUUGGUUUGGUAUCCAGACCAAAUGAAAUGUUAAACGGAAAAAUGUGAUGAAUUUUUCUCCAGGUGAUAUAAAGUACAAUGGCAAAUAACACUUUUUUUUUUUUUUUUUUUUUUUUUUUUGCUGAAUACACAAUAUUUUUUAUUUACCUGAGGUGAAAGUGGGGUCCAGAGGCUAUUGCAAGACUGGCAACUGUGUCCAUUCUACACCAGAAAUUCCUGAGGACGAGAAAAGAGGGUAUGAACAGAGUCACAAACAGCAUGUGACCCACAAAGGUGGGUCACAAUCAGCCUUUUGAGAAUUCCUUGUGUCAAGCUGUCAUCAGUGACAUGGAAAUGAAGGAGCAAUAUCAACGUUUUACGUAUCUUUUUCUCUGUCUCUCCAAACCAAAAGUUAUAUUGGAAGUGGUAGUAAAUACAGGACACAUGUCCCAUUGCCCAUCCUGCAAUAAAGUUUCUACUUUGUAAUAAA